ACUUGAUUGUGAGGGUAUUUACACAAGAGGUCCCUAAAGCACUCCUAUGUCUCAAAAAAUUGUUCCCCAUCCAAUUAUAAGAAACUAGUGAUUGCCUUCCUCAGCU